rnacentral:SRP_RNA from 2 species
GCCAGGCAUGGUGGUGCAUGCCUGUAGUCCCAGAUACUUGGGAGGCUGAGGCAGGGGAAUCACUUGAACCCAGGAGGCAGAGAUUGCAGUGAGCCAAGAUUGUGCCACUGUACUCCAGCCUGGGUGACAGAGUGAGACUCCGUCUCAA